rnacentral:rRNA from 1 species
AACGAACGCUGGCGGCAGGCUUAACACAUGCAAGUCGAUCGGUAACGCGGGGGCAACCCUGGCGACGAGAGGCGGACGGGUGAGGAACGCUUGGGAAUCUGCCUAUCAGCGGGGGACAACCCGGGGAAACUCGGGCUAAUACCGCAUACGCUCUACGGAGGAAAGCCGGGGACCGCAAGGCCUGGCACUGAUAGAUGAGCCCAAGCCGGAUUAGCUAGUUGGCGGGGUAACGGCCCACCAAGGCGACGAUCCGUAGCUGGUCUGAGAGGACGAUCAGCCACACCGGAACUGGGACACGGUCCGGACUCCUACGGGGGGCAGCAGUGGGGAAUAUUGGACAAUGGGCGAAAGCCUGAUCCAGCGACGCCGCGUGGGUGAAGAAGGCCUGCGGGUUGUAAAGCCCUUUCGGUAGGGGCGAAAGCUCUCGACCUAACACGUCGGGAGGUUGACUUAACCUACAAAAGAAGCACCGGCUAACUCUGUGCCAGCCGCCGCCGUAAUAC